rnacentral:lncRNA from 1 species
GAUGGAUUUGUAAUACUUGCAAAUGUUCAAGGCCGGAUUUGGUUUUUGUCCUAAAUUUCCCCUCUAGUUUACUGUUAUAAAUGUGUUUUCCAUUCCAAUCAAAUUAGGGUUUCUUUCUGAAUUAACCCAAAUCUUUGCAUUUACAGUAAAUUAGGGUUUCAAGUUCUGCUUGUGCAGUGUCUCUAGUCAUUGACGUGGAUGAAAAAGUUCCUUAAGACGGUUGGAAUAGUUAGGCAAUAAAUGAGAAGAAGAGUACACCUUUUGAUUCUGGGAUUGGAGUUGCUGGAUCAAUUAGCCAGCUUUAGCCACGCUUUAGCAAUUCUUUUUCUUUCCUUCUCUGCUUGCAUUCUGUUUCGUAUGUCUAAACCAAGCCUGCAAUACAAUGGAGAUCUUUGCGCACAACGUCCUAUGGCGGUGCAAAUUGUGCUUGUAGACUAGUGAUGGUCCCCUUUCAUCCCCGUCUCCUGUUUCCUUAUGGUCUGGUGAGUGAGCUUCUCUUGUGCAUAGAGAUGUACUGGAAACCAGAAUGAUAGACAUAACUUCAUCUAAAUUUUGAAGGCAGAAUAUGAGGCUUUGUGGUCCUCCUAAUUUAGUUAACUUAUUAUACAUUAGACUAAAAAUUUCUACUAUCACAGGAUCAUAUAUUUCAGUUUCAACUUAUGAAUUCUACAUUUAUUUGGGCUAUUUUGGACAUUUUGUAUGCUUCCUUUCAUCCUGGUAAAGUUUUG